rnacentral:piRNA from 1 species
UGGAACAAGGAUCUGCCUAUUUUCUAUGG